rnacentral:rRNA from 1 species
GAUGAACGCUAGCGGCAGGCCUAAUACAUGCAAGUCGAACGGUAAGGCUCUUUCGGGAGUACACGAGUGGCGAACGGGUGCGUAACGCGUAUGCAACCUACCUUUAACUGGAGAAUAGCCCCGAGAAAUCGGGAUUAAUACUUCAUAAUAAUAAGAUCUGGCAUCUUUUCUUAUUUAAAGCUUUGGCGGUUAAAGAUGGGCAUGCGUGACAUUAGAUAGUUGGUGAGGUAACGGCUCACCAAGUCAGCGAUGUCUAGGGGUUCUGAGAGGAUUUUCCCCCACACUGGUACUGAGACACGGACCAGACUCCUACGGGAGGCUG